rnacentral:rRNA from 1 species
AUUGAACGCUGGCGGCAGGCCUAACACAUGCAAGUCGAGCGGAGCGGCGGGCGGGUGAGUCAUGCCUAGGAAGCUGCCUGGUAGAGGGGGAUACAGGCCGGAAACGGGCGCUAAUACCGCAUUCUAUCAGACGGGCCUGGGUCGGUUAAGCUAGUUGGUGGGUUAAAGGCCUACCAAGGCGACGAUCCGUAGCUGGUCUGAGAGGCUGAUCAGUCACACUGGAACUGAGACACGAUCCAGACUCCGACGGGAGGCAGCAGUGGGGAAUAUUGGACAAUGAGCGAAAUCCUGAUACAGCCAUGCCGCGUGUAUGAAGAAGGUCUUCGGACUGUAAAGGACUUAUAGUUGGGAGGCGUGACCAACAGAAUAAGCACCGGCUAACUUCGUGCCAGCAGCCGCGGUAAAAC